rnacentral:misc_RNA from 1 species
AAGUCGUAACAAGGUUUCCGUAGGUGAACCUGCGGAAGGAUCAUUAAUGAAAUGAUAAUUUUUUGGGGUUUUUCCCCGAAAAAUAAUUCACCUUUUGUGCAUUGUUAUUAGAUAUACUUUGGUUAGAGCUUUGAUUUCAUUUUUUGAAAUCAACUUCUUGCUGACUCUAUCCUGUUAAGGACAGUUGGCUAUGAAGCGGCCUACCAAGGUUUUUUAUCAAACACUUGUAUUUUGUCUGACCUAAAAUCAAAUAAUUAAAUCAUAACUUUCAACAACGGAUCUCUUGGCUCUC